UGGCUGUCGUCAGCUCGUGUUGUGAAAUGUUGGGUUAAGUCCCGCAACGAGCGCAACCCUUAUCCUUUGUUGCCAGCGGUCCGGCCGGGAACUCAAAGGAGACUGCCAGUGAUAAACUGGAGGAAGGUGGGGAUGACGUCAAGUCAUCAUGGCCCUUACGACCAGGGCUACACACGUGCUACAAUGGCGCAUACAAAGAGAAGCGACCUCGCGAGAGCAAGCGGACCUCAUAAAGUGCGUCGUAGUCCGGAUUGGAGUCUGCAACUCGACUCCAUGAAGUCGGAAUCGCUAGUAAUCGUGGAUCAGAAUGCCACGGUGAAUACGUUCCCGGGCCUUGUACACACCGCCCGUCACACCAUGGGAGUGGGUUGCAAAAGAAGUAGGUAGCUUAACCUUCGGGAGGGCGCUUACCACUUUGUGAUUCAUGACUGGGGUGAAGUCGUAACAAGGUAACCGUAGGGGAACCUGCGGUUGGAUCAC
rnacentral:rRNA from 1 species